rnacentral:pre_miRNA from 1 species
CCCCUGAGACUGAUAAUUGCUCCUCUGUCAGAUUGCUGCACGCACUGAUUUUCCUCUCGGAGCAAUUUUCUCUCUCAGGUAUG